rnacentral:rRNA from 1 species
UACGGAGGAUCCGAGCGUUAUCCGGAUUUAUUGGGUUUAAAGGGUGCUCAGGCGGGAGAUUAAGUCGGCGGUGAAAUUUUGCAGCUCAACUGUAAAAGUGCCUUCGAAACUGGUUUCCUUGAGUGUGGAUGAGGUAGGCGGAAUUUGUGGUGUAGCGGUGAAAUGCAUAGAUAUCACGAGGAACUCCGAUUGCGUAGGCAGCUUACUAAACCAUAACUGACGCUCAAGCACGAAGGCGUGGGGAUCAAACAGGAUUAGAUACCCUGGUAGU